rnacentral:lncRNA from 1 species
UCCGGGACCCCUCACUCAGUGCAGAGGGAAAUUGACACAGCCAUGAUGAGGCCUGGCUCACAAGAGCCAUAGUUACUGUAGGAGUUUCUGUGGCUAAAUAUGCUUAGCUAUUGAGGCAAGGACAUGUGCUGGAUGUGUAUGCAGUCUUUGAAGCUGGAGAGGCCUGUGUUGGAAACUGUGCUCUGUCCCAUGCCAGUUCCCUGACCUUGGGGGACGACCCAGACCAUCAUUCUUCUCUGGUCUGCCACCUUCAUCCUCCACUUGCAGCCUCCUUUGCAGUGACCAUACAGGUGCAGAGCAUGAGCAGGAUGCACAGGGGUUUAUGUGGUCAGGCCUGCCUGGAGUUGGCACAUAGCAUUUCUGCUUCCAUUCUUAGGUCUGAAAUCCAGGUCACAGAGCCCUAACAUAACUACAAAGGAUCCUGAAAAGUGUUGUAUUCCAGUGUGCCUCGGAAAAGAAAAUAGGAUUAAUAAACUUUGAUUAGACUAAAUCAUUGA